AGGAGCGUCGGUUAAGGGCAAACCAACGGUCUCCAAAACCGUGACUGCAGGUUCGACUCCUGCCGCUCCUG
rnacentral:tRNA from 3 species